rnacentral:rRNA from 1 species
UACUCCUACCCGGGAGGCAGCAGUAGGGAAUCUUCCGCAAUGGACGAAAGUCUGACGGAGCAACGCCGCGUGAGUGAUGAAGGUUUUCGGAUCGUAAAGCUCUGUUGUUAGGGAAGAACAAGUGCAAGAGUAACUGCUUGCACCUUGACGGUACCUAACCAGAAAGCCACGGCUAACUACGUGCCAGCAGCCGCGGUAAUACGUAGGUGGCAAGCGUUGUCCGGAAUUAUUGGGCGUAAAGGGCUCGCAGGCGGUUUCUUAAGUCUGAUGUGAAAGCCCCCGGCUCAACCGGGGAGGGUCAUUGGAAACUGGGAAACUUGAGUGCAGAAGAGGAGAGUGGAAUUCCACGUGUAGCGGUGAAAUGCGUAGAGAUGUGGAGGAACACCAGUGGCGAAGGCGACUCUCUGGUCUGUAACUGACGCUGAGAGCGAAGCUACCCUACG